UACGUAGGUGGCAAGCGUUGUUCGGAAUUAUUGGGCGUAAAGGGCGCGUAGGCGGUUUUGUAAGUCGGCUGUGAAAGCCCGGGGCUCAACCCCGGAGGGUCGGCUGAUACUGCAAGACUGGAGUACGGAAGAGGUAGCUGGAAUUCCCGGCGUAGCGGUGGAAUGCGCAGAUAUCAGGAAGAACACCCGUGGCGAAGGCGGCUCUCUGGAACGCAACUGACGCUGAGACGCGAAAGCGUGGGGAGCAAACAGG
rnacentral:rRNA from 1 species